CCUACGGGUGGCAGCAGUGAGGAAUAUUGGUCAAUGGCCGGAAGGCUGAACCAGCCAAGCCGCGUGAAGGACGAAGGUGCCAAGCAUUGUAAACUUCUUUUGUCAAGGGACAAAAUCAGGCUCGAGAGCCUGACCGAGGGUACUUGAAGAAAAAGCAUCGGCUAACUCCGUGCAAGCAGCCGCGGUAAUACAGAGGAGGCGGGCGUUAGCCGGAUGUAUUGGGUUUAAAGGGGGCGGAGGCGGACUGUUAAGUCAGCGGUAAAAGCCUGGGGCUCAAGCCCGGCGAGCCGUGGAAAAUGGCUGUCUUGAGUUGUCGAGAGGUAGGCGGAAUGCGCAGUGUAGCGGUGAAAUGCUUAGAUAUUGCGCAGAACUCCGAUUGCGAAGGCAGCAUACCGGCGGCGAUCUGACGCUGAGGCACGAAAGCGUGGGUAUCGAACAGGAUUAGAUACCCGGGUAGUC
rnacentral:rRNA from 1 species